rnacentral:lncRNA from 1 species
AUCUAUGAAAACCAGCGACUUGACUGCUAGAGAAAGUUGAUAUCACGUAGACCUAAGUAUGGUCCUGUUUCGUGCAAUGAAUAUCGCCAAGACUAAUUGACCCACUAGAAAUCACCUCAAUUGUUUCUAGUCAUCUUUUUUAACAAUGUUAAAUGGUUAUAAACAGGAAAACAGUCUGUGGGAUUUCUUCUGUUUCCCGGUUCCAGAUCCAAUGAACUCCUUUCUCCAAUCUUGUACCAACACUGGGAGCUGGCUGCCAAGAGAAUGGAAGAAGAGAAGGGAAUGGUGUCAAGCCUUGACAAGCACAGUGUGUGGCUGCCAUUAAGAGAAAAUGUGUCAUGCAACCAGCUAUUCUAAGCACCAGUGACUGGCAAAAGGAGGAUGGAGUGGUGGUGUCCUCACGGUAGGCUUACCGGCGCUUGGGGGCAAAUGGGGAAGUCCAGGGCAUAAACUGUGGUCCUGGAAAAACUUGUGUGAAUAUGAAGAAGUCCUGGAGGGACGAUAGGCAUAACGUAAGAGGCAGCAGUGGUAAGUAUACAGCUGUUAUCUGCAGAAGCUUAUGAUUUUCUCUUUGUUGAAAGUAAAUCCAUGUCAAACAUUGUUCUAGGCAAUUCAUAUAGAUUACUUCACUUAAUCCUCAUGACAAUGCAAUAAGGUCAGUAUUAUUAUGCUCUUUAUAUUACAAAUGAGGACUCCAAAAAAAAAAAAAACAUGAAUAAGCAAGUAAUUUGCCCAAGUUAUACAAAUAACAUAUUGCUGAGGUAGGAUUUGAUUUGAACCCAACAAAUCAAACUCUGGAACCCAAUAUCAUAUUUUAGGUAUAAUUUAUAUACAGUAAGAGGGCCUUGUUUGGUUUAUAAUUCUAUGAGUUUUGGUACAUGUACCCAACCUUGUAACUGCUACCUACUCAAGAUGUAGAACAGUUUUAUCAUUUUCCCUAAUCUCCUUAUGAAUGCCCUUUUCUAAUCAGUCCCCUCCCCUUUUCCCAGUCCCUGGAAAUCACUGAUCUGUCUGUUUUCUUUAUAGUUUUCACUUUUCCAGAAUGUCCUAUCAAUGGAAUAAUAAAGCAUGAAGGCUCUUGAGU